rnacentral:rRNA from 1 species
CCUACGGGUGGCAGCAGUGAGGAAUAUUGGUCAAUGGGCGCGAGCCUGAACCAGCCAAGUAGCGUGAAGGAUGACUGCCCUACGGGUUGUAAACUUCUUUUAUAAAGGAAUAAAGUGAGGCACGUGUGCCUUUUUGUAUGUACUUUAUGAAAAAGGAACGGCUAAGUCCGUGCCAGCAGCCGCGGUAAGACGGAGGAUCCGAGCGUUAUCCGGAUUUAUUGGGUUUAAAGGGAACGUAGAUGGGUUGUUAAGUCAGUUGUGAAAGUUUGCGGCUCUACCGUAAAAUUGCAAUUGAUACUGGCAGUCUUGAGUACAGUUGAGGUAGGCGGAAUUCGUGGUGUAGCGGUGGAAUGCUUAGGUCUCACGAAGAACUCCGAUUGCGAAGGCAGCUUACUAAACUGCCACUGACAUUGAUGCUCGAAAGUGUGGGUAUCAAACCGGAUUCGGUUCCCCGUGUAGUC